GACAGAGGUGCCGAGCGUUAGGCGGAAUCACUGGGCGUAAAGCGCACGUAGGCGGAUCUUUAAGUCAGGGGUGAAAUCCUGGAGCUCAACUCCAGAACUGCCUUUGAUACUGGGGAUCUCGAGUCCGGGAGAGGUGAGUGGAACUCCGAGUGUAGAGGUGAAAUUCGUAGAUAUUCGGAAGAACACCAGUGGCGAAGGCGGUUCUCUGGGACGGUACUGACGCUGAGACGCGAAAGCGUGGGGAGCGAACAGG
rnacentral:rRNA from 1 species